rnacentral:rRNA from 1 species
UACGUAGGGACCGAGCGUUGUCCGGAAUCAUUGGGCGUAAAGAGCGUGUAGGCGGCCACUUAAGUCCUGCGUGAAAUCUUGCGGCUCAACCGCAAGCGGUCGUGGGAAACUGGGUGGCUAGAGUGCGGGAGAGGAGAGUGGAAUUCCUGGUGUAGCGGUGGAAUGCGCAGAUAUCAGGAAGAACACCCGUGGCGAAGGCGGCUCUCUGGAACGCAACUGACGCUGAGGAGCGAAAGCGUGGGGAGCGAACAG